GGCGCCUGUGUUGCGCGCUGGGACUAGUCAUGCUGGUAUCGAAGUAGUGUGUUCCUGAAAAGUGAGUGGAUAUUUAAUAAUUAGGCUUUCCUUACACUUUUAGUGAGCUCCAUGAGAAAUGAGGGCUUGUUGUUGAAUGAGAUGCGGGGAAAGACUGAGUCAUAACUGGGGGUUAAAAAGCAGCUGUCCCGUCCCGAUGUUAUGGAGCAGCCCCCUGGGAACGUAGAUGAUUUACAGCCUCAGGAUGUUGCCACCUCCAGCGUGCCUGUUGUGAUUGACCUGAGCAGGAGAGAGGAGGAGUGUGUCCUCCCCUCCGCUCCCGACAAUGCCUUACAGAUAAUCCAAAGCCCUGGCUGGCUCACAAGCUCUGGAGUGACCAGCCCUGGAUUACAUUUCUCAGAGACUGGCUCGCUGGGCGCCGUGGUGCAACCAGGAGCUCAAAUUCAACCAGACAAUGCCUUAUCCCACCAGACUCUGUCCCACAUGAGCAGGCCUCAUGUCCUCUCCACUGGUGACUCCCGAUCUCAGCAGCUGCUUUGCUGCAGUGGGUCACCUAUCGGCACGUUUUCCCUCCACCCUCAUAACGACUCGCACGACUGUCUUGAGGAGACUAGCUAUGCACUUGACCGGCAUUACAUGGAGCAGGCAGAGGAGCCCAUGAACCUGGCCACUCCGACUGAAAAAUUUCGAUCUUUUUCUCUGGCUCAGGAGGAACCAGAGAACAAUGCUGGGGGGUCCCUUGUUCAGGAGCCUGAUCAGUGGAACGGUGAUGCUAACAGAGGUGCAGGUUCCAGCGAUGAGUUUUCAGGAGAGCCCCUAAAUCAUGGAGAGGAGCAUGGGCUUCCUACAGGAAAAAGGAAUGGGUUGGAAAAUGGUGACUGCUGGUCAGGUGCAGCAGCACAACGGGAUUCAUCACGAGAGACUUCUCUUGUCAGGAGCUCUGAUGUUCUCUCGAAAAACCAGGAUGUGGUGGUGGUCUCAGACAGAACCGGUACCACAGCUUUGUGUUUGCUGAGCGAGGAGUAUCCGAGUCCUCUGGAGGACCCCGUUUCCCCAUCUGCUACCUCACUGGAUGAUGUGGAGGAUGUGUUCCUGCUGCCUCAGACGCCUUGCUCAACCAGCUCUUAUCCAGAGAAGACCUUCAGCUCAGAAACUGUGCCAGGUUCCGGUAACAUCCUUGGCUCUAGACGUUUAGACCUAAGUAACAAGAGUAGACAACAAACCCAACAUCAAACGUACUCGCUGGAACCUUUGAGUUACUCAACAGACGACACCCUUAUGUCGGAUGUUUCGGAAAACGAACCCAACGGUGUUGCUCCUAAAAUGAAUGGAAGUGCAAACGCACUAGAGAGAACUCUAACAGAACGGAAGCUACCAGUGCGUUCUGGUAGAGGAACCCGCCUGGAGGCUAUAGUCAUGAAUAUUAACUCAAGCAGGUAUAAAGUAUCAGGACGUAUACUCGCCAAUAAACGAACUAAUGUCUCCAGAUCUGAAACUCAAGUUUCUACCAUAAACAGUCUUAAGAGGAGCGAGCCUUUAUCUGUGCAGCAGCGGAGAGGAAAAGCAAAAACGACCAACAGAACAUUAGGUAAGGCGAGAAAAGAUAAAAAUAGCAAUAAGGCUGAUGGCUGCAAAGCCUCCGCCACAGUUUCUAAACUCAAGAACAAGUCUCCCAGCAGCAAGCCGCCUAAACGCCCCAAGAAGUCAAAGAGAGAAGUGGUGAACCCACCACAGACCAGCACCACAAAGUCCAAAAGGAAACUCCCGUCACUGUCAAAUCCUCAUUUUGCUGUGACCAAGAACUCUACGAAGAACCCAGAUCCGCCCCCCCAGCCGGAACCCUCGGUGGAAAACGGUGUGUCUAGGUUUCCUCCCCCACCACUACAAACCAAACUUCCAAAGAACAGCCCAAACAAAUCUCAAAGCAAGCCUCCUGGUACCAAGACGAAGAAGGCCCAAGCCUCUAAACGACGGAGAAAGAAGCGCAAAAUAAGUCCGCCAUCCUCCAUGUUCUCCCCAAAAGAACCUGAGAUCAGGCUCAAGUAUGUCAACUACAAGGAGAAGAGGCACCUCAAGCCAGACGGCUUCUCUCCGUUUAUCCGUGUCCAGCAUCAGCAGUCUUCUCCAUCUUUGUGCACGGUCAUCAACCAUGCUGAGGUGGUCAAGGUGCAGCACAAGAACGGCCAGCUGCAACACACCAGCACUUUUAUUUCUGCAACUGUACCCAGCACUUCCUGUUUGCAGUUGGGCUGGUUGUCUAUGCACAGCCGGCAUCAGCGGGCUCUUGUUUGUUGCCUUUGCGGCAGGUCGGCCAAUGCCAUGGACUUAGGGGACCUGCAUGGACCCUACUACCCUGAGGGGUACCGGCUGAGCCCCAAAGCCACCGCCGCAACAUCGGGGAUUAAAGAGGACGAGGGUGAUUACAGUGAUUCUGACUCCUCAUCCAGCAGUGUGAGGGUCAGGCCGUGGACCCUCAUUAAGGGAGCUCUACUAAAGCAGAGGGGCCUCCUAGGGAGCCACAAGUGGGCUGUAAACCGAGCCGGCAGUCCUGCAGCUAAGCGGACUCGGUCUGACACUGGUCCUGUGGAAGUGGAGGACUGGUACAGCCCACCUGUGCUGCCUCUGGAACCUUGUGAGUACUGGCUCCAUGAGGACUGUGGCAUCUGGUCAACAGGGGUGUUCCUCGUGAAGGGAAAGGUCUACGGAUUGGAGGAGGCUGUCAAAGUGGCUCAGGAGAUAACAUGUUCAGCGUGUCACGAGCCAGGUGCUUCCCUGGGCUGCUUCUUCAAAGGCUGUGCCAACAAAUACCACUACAGGUGUGCUCUGGAGUCAGCAGACUGUGUUCUGGUGGAGGAAAACUUCUCCAUGAAGUGUAAGAAGCACAAGGUGAGCAGCUAACAAGACCUUGCAAACUCCUCCAGGGAGCUGACGUGGUGACCGCUGACAGUUUACACAAACCCCCUCAGCUGAGACCGACAUGCAUUGCCCUCCGAGGUGCUCCUCCCUUUCUGGCUGCAGUUACCAUGGUGACAGUGGACCAGUGUGCUUCUGGCUGACAGACUUCUGCUCUUCAUCUGCACUGAGACCAGAAGAGCUGCUGGCUCCUCAUCUCUGGUGCCACCUCUAGGCUGGGAAAGGAAAAUACGCUGAAUUUUCCUCAAUAUUUAUACAGAACUGUUUUGUUGUCUCUGAUGAUUAUGAAUAACAAUCAAAGAUAUUUAAUUUUCUGAAUAUUUGAUAAUAUUGGGUUUAUUUAUUUCUGAACUCUUAUUGAAUUUAGCAGUUUUCAACUGUGAGUGUGUUUUGUUUUUUAAGUUAUUGGUGAAGCAGGUGAACUUUUCUCUCGUUUUACUACAAGUUGGGGCAGAAAGAGGUUUAGUUCAGUGGAGCUGCUGCUCAGAGGGAACGGCCCAACUGCUUUGUCCCAGGCAGCACUUUAUACUGUCAUCUAGGGCAAUGCUGGUCCUAGAUGUCCCCCAUCCAGCAUGUUUUAGGUGUUUCUGCUCCAGUACACCUGGUUUUAACUAGCAGGUGAUCUACAGGCUUCUGCAGAGCUUGAUGAGGUGUGUUGGAGCAGAGAAACUGCAAAAACAUGCUGGAUCCCCUCCCGAUCCAGGGCAUUACCUUUUUGUUUCCAGGGCAACACUUAAAGGAUGUUUGGGCUCUCUGACAGUGUUUCUGAGUAACUUGUACAUAAUUACCUGUAUUGGUUGCCACAUUUUAUAGGAAUGAUGAGGUUAGCUGGUAAUUAUUAAUGUCAAGCCCCUCCCCCUCGUGGCUCUUGUUUUACAUUGAUGUGUCAUCGAUAUGUGUUUGAAUGUAUUGAACAGGAAGCACUUUGUGUGGCUGCGUGUUUUCCUGCUCCAGCCUCUCCGCCGUCGGAAUGAAAAGUGUUUUCUUCACCUUCCACGUUUGAAUGUGCCGAUGUGGCGUUCGCCUGCACUGCCUUUAAAUCACUCCCGGGAGGUAUUUGGUUCAUUCUGAUUGGAGGCAGCUUGUGUGCACUAUUUUAUUUCAGGUGUGUUUGUUCACCACACACACAAACACACACACACUGGAAGUGUGGUGAGCUUAGCUCCUGGUUUCUAAGCCUGUUGGUUUUAGACGACAUCUUUACCCUCAGGACUGAUGGGGCAGCACUGAACCAGUCCUAACAGGACAGCAUCAGAACUUCAGCUGGAAGCACUUAAACACAAGAACAGCUUUUACCGUGCCAUUUUGUUUCUGCUAGUUUUUUAUGAGCCGGUGUGUCAGCCAGCUGUUUCACAACAACUUCUACCAAAUACAGACCCAGAAAUCUUAUGAAUUUUUCAUUUUGAGACGACUCGGCGUAUUCAACUCAGGGCUAAAUCUCAAACAUUGCUUUUGUUUGUUGUGAUUCAUUUUAGGCGAUCUCCUCGGAUGCUGAGCCUUUCGUGUUAACACCAAAACCUGCAUUCCUUCGUCUGCCUCAGUGGUAUUUGUAACCAGUGCCAACGUCUCUUACGGCACAUUUUUUGUACCAUCAUGUUUGCUUCUCUAAGCAUCAGAGGACUUUUCAAAAUUAAAUAUUUUUGUUCAA